UGGGUGAAAGGAAGGAAAGACAUAGGAUAGAGUCACCUCUGUCCUCCACCUAUAGAGGUGACUAUCCUAUGUCUUUCCUUCCUCUCACCCCU
rnacentral:pre_miRNA from 1 species